GGUCUUAUAGUUUAUUUAAAAAUUUUAAAUUGCAAAUUUAAAGAUAGUGUUUUAAGACUU
rnacentral:tRNA from 1 species